rnacentral:rRNA from 1 species
UACGGGGGGGGCAAGCGUUGUUCGGAAUUACUGGGCGUAAAGGGCUCGUAGGUGGCCAACUAAGUCAGACGUGAAAUCCCUCGGCUUAACCGGGGAACUGCGUCUGAUACUGGAUGGCUUGAGUUUGGGAGAGGGACGCGGAAUUCCAGGUGUAGUGGUGAAAUGCGUAGAUAUCUGGAGGAACACCGGUGGCGAAGGCGGCGUCCUGGACCAACACUGACACUGAGGAGCGAAAGCCAGGGGAGCAAACGGG